rnacentral:rRNA from 1 species
GACGAACGCUGGCGGCGCGCUUAACACAUGCAAGUCGAACGGAAAGGCCUGCUUUCCCUUGUGGAUUGCGGGUACUCGAGUGGCGAACGGGUGAGUAACACGUGAGUGAUCUGCCCCCAACUUGGGUAUAAGCCGGGGAAACUGGGUCUAAUUCCCGAUAGGACUGCAGGGUGGUGCCGGUGGUGGAAAACGAUUGUCUAGUGGUUGGGGAUGAGCUCGCGGCCUAUCAGCUUGUUGGUGGGGGAAUGGCCUACCAAGGCGGUGACGGGUAGCCGGCCUGGGAUGGUGGGCGUGCGCGUUGGACCUGCGACACUGCCCCGGCUCCUCCGCGAGGCCUCCUUCGGGAGUCUUGCGCGAUGAGUGGUGCCCUGUUGCCGCGAGGCCGCUGGGGCAAUGCCGGGCUUCGGAUUGUGACCUCCUUUCUGCCGCGAGGAUGCCCCCUGGUUGGAGGGGUGGUGACGGUAGUGGUAGAAGAAGCACCGGCUAACUACGUG